rnacentral:rRNA from 1 species
UACGGGAGGCAGCAGUGGGGAAUAUUGGACAAUGGGCGAAAGCCUGAUCCNNCCAUGCCGCGUGUGUGAAGAAGGUCUUCGGAUUGUAAAGCACUUUAAGUUGGGAGGAAGGGCAGUAAGUUAAUACCUUGCUGUUUUGACGUUACCGACAGAAUAAGCACCGGCUAACUCUGUGCCAGC